rnacentral:rRNA from 1 species
CCCUUAGACGUUCUGGGCCGCACGCGCGCUACACUGACCAGUGCAACAAGCAUCCGUCCUUGGCCGACAGGCCCGGGCAAUCUUUGAACGCUGGUCGUGAUGGGGAUAGACUUUUGCAAUUUUUGGUCUUCAACGAGGAAUUCCUAGUAAACGCAAGUCAUCAACUUGCAUUGAUUACGUCCCUGCCCUUUGUACACACCGCCCGUCGCACCUACCGAUUGAAUGGUCCGGUGAAGCCUCCGGAUUGGCGCGCACCUCGGUGCUGCCGAGAAGUUGGCUAAACCUUACCAUUUAGAGGAAGGUGAANUCGUANCA